UAAGGUCGUGACAUUGUGGUAUCAGAGCGGGCAAGCACUUCGAGCGAACAGCGAACGAACUUCGCAACUUCACCAUGGCAAAGCAUCGUGGCGAAUCAAGCAAGACGGGGCAAGCCGGACCCUUGCCCCAAGCAGCCGCAGGUGGGCUGCAUGUGCACACUCGCUCUCAUGCUGUUGGAGCCGCUCAAGAGGAGCGCGGCAGCGAAC
rnacentral:lncRNA from 1 species